rnacentral:tRNA from 1 species
UUAUUUAUAUUUUAUAGGAUAAAAUUUUAAAUUUAAGAUUUUUUUAUAAGUUUAUAAAAUAUUGAAUAAUUAAUAUAUAAUUUAUUUAUUAGAAUAACAAUUAUAUGUAAUUUCUCUAUUAUUAAUUUGUUUAAAUAUAAAUUAUCAUUAGUUUAUAUUUUUUCUAAAAAAAGUAAUAUUAUAUAUUUAUUAAUAUAUAUAAAUUAAAAAAAUAUAUUUAAAAUAUAAAUGAA